CGAAAUAGCUCAGUUGGUAGAGCGACGCAUUCGUAAUGCGUAGGUCACGGGUUCAACUCCCGUUUUCGG
rnacentral:tRNA from 1 species